rnacentral:rRNA from 1 species
UACGGGGGGGGUAAGCGUUGUUCGGAAUUACUGGGCGUAAAGGGCUCGUAGGCGGCCAACUAAGUCAGACGUGAAAUCCCUCAGCUUAACUGGGGAACUGCGUCUGAUACUGGAUGGCUUGGAUUCGGGAGAGGAAUGCGGAAUUCCAGGUGUAGCGGUGAAAUGCGUAGAUAUCUGGAGGAACACCGGUGGCGAAGGCGGCAUCCUGGACCAUAUGUACACUGAGGAGGCGAAGCAAGGGCAGGGACGAACAGGAGGU